CCUACGGGGGGCUGCAGUAGGGAAUAUUGCACAAUGGGCGAAAGCCUGAUGCAGCAACGCCGCGUGAGCGAAGAAGGCCUUCGGGUCGUAAAGCUCUUUUCUAGGGGAAGAGGAAGGACGGUACCCUAGGAACAAGUCUCGGCUAACUACGUGCCAGCAGCCGCGGUAAAACGUAGGAGGCGAGCGUUAUCCGGAUUUAUUGGGCGUAAAGGGCAAGUAGGCGGUAGGCAAAGUUGGUUGUGACAUCUCCCGGCUCAACUGGGAGGGUGCGGCCAAAACUAGCAUACUAGAGGGCAGAAGAGGGAAGUGGAAUUCCUGGUGUAGCGGUGGAAUGCUCAGAUACCAGGAGGAACACCAGUGGCGAAGGCGGCUUCCUGGUCUGCACCUGACGCUGAGAGGCGAAAGCUAGGGGAGCGAACGGGCUUAGAUACCCGAGUAGUC
rnacentral:rRNA from 1 species